rnacentral:rRNA from 1 species
GGGUCAGUAGGUUGGUCGUGCCACCGGUACGUACUGGUCUCACUGAUUCCUCCUUCCUGAAGAACCGUAAUGCCAUUAAUUUGGUGUGGCGGGGAAACAGGACUGUUACUUUGAAAAAAUUAGAGUGUUUAAAGCAAGCUAACGCUUGAAUACAUUAGCAUGGAAUAACGAAAUAGGACGAUCGAUCCUAUUUUGUUGGUUUCUAGGAUUGACGUA